GGGGCGCAGCAGGCGCGAAACCUCCGCAAUGUGAGAAAUCGCGACGGGGGGAUCCCAAGUGCCAUUCUUAACGGGAUGGCUUUUCAUUAGUGUAAAAAGCUUUUGGAAUAAGAGCUGGGCAAGACCGGUGCCAGCCGCCGCGGUAACACCGGCAGCUUUAGUGGUAGCAACUUUUAUUGGGCCUAAAGCGUCCGUAGCCGGUUUAAUAAGUCUCUGGUGAAAUCCUGUAGCUUAACUGUGGGAAUUGCUGGAGAUACUAUUAGACUUGAGACCGGGAGAGGUUAGAGGUACUCCCAGGGUAGAGGUGAAAUUCUGUAAUCCUGGGAGGACCGCCUGUUGCGAAGGCGUCUAACUGGAACGGUUCUGACGGUGAGGGACGAAAGUUAGGGGCGCGAACCGGAUUAGAUACCCGGGUAGUCCUAACUGUAAACGAUGCGGACUUGGUGUUGGGGUGGCUUUGAGCUGCUCCAGUGCCGAAGGGAAGCUGUUAAGUCCACCGCCUGGGAAGUACGGUCGCAAGACUGAAACUUAA
rnacentral:rRNA from 1 species